AAGAAGGCCCCCGCCCUCGUCAUCAAGCUGGACUUUGCGAAGGCGUUCGACUCUGUGAACUGGGAAUGCCUCCGACGAGUCAUGGAGGUGCACAGCUUCCCUGAGAAGUGGUGCGAGUGGAUGGAUGCUAUCCUUCAUUCCUCCUGCUCCGCCGUGCUGCUCAACGGCGUCCCAGGGGCGUGGUUCCCCGUCCGCUGUGGGCUACGCCAAGGGGACCCGCUGUCCCUACCUGUUCCUCCUGGUGGCCGACGUCUUGCAGCGGAUGAUCCGGUGUGA
rnacentral:rRNA from 1 species